rnacentral:rRNA from 1 species
UACGUAGGGGGCGAGCGUUGUCCGGAGUUACUGGGCGUAAAGCGCACGCAGGCGGUCUGCUAAGUUUGGAGUGACAGUUGGUGGCUUAACUGCCAAAGUGCUUCGAAAACUGACAGACUUGAGGGCUUCAGAGGGACACGGAAUUCCGGGUGGAGUGGUGAAAUGCGUAGAGAUCCGGAGGAACACCAAAGGCGAAGGCAGUGUCCUGGGGAGUACCUGACGGCUCGA